UAUAAAAAGAGUUCCUACUGCAUCCCUGCCUGCAAAUACUGACCUACAACUUCUGCCUCCCCAUGGCUUUUCCUAUGUAAUCAAGCUGGAGACUCUCCUCAUUUAAAAGAUCUCUUGUCUUCACUGGACUCUGCAAAGGUCUUUAACCUACAGAAGCUGAGUCAAGGGAACAGAUAAAGGCAAAAGGUUCCUAGCUAUGGUCCCUACUCAGGCACUGGUCGAAAAAAGCUGCAAACAGAACCAAGCUACAGACCUCGUAUCAGAGUUGCUUCUCCCUCCUCCUACAUUCAGCUCCCUCCAUCAUCUCCAGCUGCUCUUCCUGCCACGACAUGAGAGGAGAAAAUGGCUUGGAACAGCGCAGAGCUGUGGAGAGCAGGCAAUGUGGGAUGCCAGAGAGAGAUGAGGGCAAUUUCUCAUCUGCCCUGAGGGUCCAGUGUCCCAGAGGACUUAUCUGUGUUAGCUUUGCUCUUUUUGUCUGUGAUGUCACUGGAAGAAUUAAUACAGCAGCGUGGUGGAGGCGAUUAUUGCUGUGCCAGUGAUAUCUGGAUCUGUGUCAUCCCCUUUCACAACAGAAACUCAUCCCUGAGCAGCGAUGCCGCCUGGCUGGAGCAGCAGGGUGGGACUUGGCUCAUGACAGACAACUGCAAACACAGGCUGCCUGUGCCACUGUAAUACACUGGAAUCAUUUUAGAAGAUGAGUAAAUGGUGAGCAAAACUGGUGGCAAACCAGCCUUUCAGAGCAUGCCUGGCACAGAGACAUUUUUGAUUUUGGAUGGAGCAAGCCAGAGAACCAGGUAUGCCCUGGGACACGGGGAGGAUGUGUGAGAAAAGGAGAGUGAGCUGUCAGAAAAUUGAGUGUGGGACUCGCAGGACGAGAUACGUGUUG